UGCUGCCAUGGGCGCGCGGACCUGUCCCUCAGCGCGGGGCGUGGAGGGGCGGUGGCAGCACGGGCGCGGUUGCGGCGGAGCCCGGAGGCGGCGCUGACAGGACAGCGCGCGGAGGCGCUGCGGGCCGCGGCUGCCGCCCCCGGCCCGGAGCAGCCCGGCCGCGCUGAGCCCGGCCCGGCCCGGAGCAGCCCGGCCGCGCUGAGCCCGGCCCGGCCCGGAGCAGCCCGGCCGCGCUGAGCCCGGCCCGGCCCGGCCCGGCCCGAGGAAGAAGCAGAAGUUUUAACCAUCUUCCCAUGGCAUCUGACUUUUUUGAAGAGGAGGACUUUUCACCCACUUGAUGGAAGGGAAAUAAGUUUGUUUCAAGACUCUUAUGUUGUUCAUCAGUGCUGUUAACAAACGUGGGGCUUGAGGAUGCAUUUGCUGCUUCUCUGCAUUUUUGCUGAAGGAAGGACCUUGCUGUCUCCCAGCUCCUGUGGGCAUUAGGUUUCAUGGAUGUCUCUUGGGAAGAGGACAGCUCUGUAGAGCCUAAGUUUCAAAAGUAAUUUUAAAGAGAGAAGCAGUGAGAUGCACAGUGGGGAAAAGGACCCCAGGAAUCCUAUCCUGUACCUGCCUGAAUAUGGGAAGAGACUUAGUACAAUGCCAGAAUGCAGCUGGGCUUGCAGUAUUUUUAACCAUAUUAAGUCCUGUUCAGAGUUAAUGAUGAGCUCAGUGAGAUGGUCUCAGCAGUGCUGAAGGAGGGAAGGACAGAACUGGAAGGCAGGAGCUACUUCAAAGCAGGAUUUUUCAUAUUUCUGUAAUGCCCAAACACGAAGACUUUAUAAACUUCAUUAGAUCCUGCCAUCAAUGACUGAGCCUCCCUGAAAUCUUAUGAGUUACUGCCAAGAUGAGAGGGAUAACAGGAAGGAGGAGUGCUUAAGUGACUUUAAUGACAGUUAAUUUCUUCUAUUUAUCAAACGACAGAUUGUUUUUUCCUCAAAACUCAAUUGCCAUGACAAGAUGCUUUUGGAAGUCAUCUUUGUAAAAUAAAACUGACAAUUUUUAGGCUACAAAGAGCUAUUGUAUAUUUUUGUUGAAUGUUGUCAUUAUGGUAAACUGCUGGAAGGUCUUUAUUUUGGAAGUAAUUUAACUUGCAUACUUCAUUCAUUUAUUUUAAUAUCUGUUGAAUGCCAUGUGAAAAGUUUCUUGCCAGAAUUUUUUUAUUCAAUGGAAUAGUUAUUGUUACAAUGCUCAAUUUAUUAAUGUCUAAAUUACUGUUGCCCUAGCCUCCUGCAAAACUGUUUCUUAUUAGUAAUUCUUAAACAAAUAAGGAAUGAAUUAGGUUUUGUCCCCUUUGUGUUUUGGUCUGCAUAUUUUCCCUUUCAGUGAAGGUGUCUUCAGUUUUUGGAAUGACACAACACAAAGAAAGGUGGUUUGGUUUUUGGAGUUUUUUUUCCCCAACAGCACAUGUCUUUUGUGCAAUGGUUUUUUAAUAUGGACACUGCCAAGAUACAAUUACUGGAAGGAGAGAGAGAAGCUGUUGGGAAUGUCAUGUUAUGCCAAAUUAAGAAUUAUUAGCUCUUACUUUCUGUGCAAUCUCUUCGACUAGAACUCGACCUAUUGCGUCUGGCAUAUACUUUGACUCUAGUGGAACUAAUGUGUCCUUGGAGUAGCAUUUCAGAGUAACUUCAGAUUCAUGCUUUUUUCACAAGUCUGCUUUAAACUGCUGGGAUUAACUUCAGAGAAGGCGAGAGAUACAGGCUCCUUUGUCAGCAGCUGUGCUGGUUGAAGGAGGAGGCUUCCUGCACGCCUCUCGCUCCUUCUCUCCCUGCUAGGGAAGCAGGCUGAGCUGUUUCCCUGAGCACACGCAGACUGACUUCAGCCAGAGUUAAUCGUGCUAUCAAAUAUUAGUUAUCCAGUGCCCUGGGUCACUCUGAUGAAAGGACAGGGCAUGCACAGACCAGCUGUGCAGACGUCAUGUCUGGGAAGGGUGCUGUGUUGACAGGAGUGUUGCUGAGGGCUGGCCCUGGUGUGUCGCCUUUUCAGCAGGUGCAGUUACAUAUCUUGGAUGUGGUAAAAAUUGGACGUGUUAGAAAGCUGUGCAGAUCUGUCAUGCAUAAUAUUCACAUUCCAGGGACACCCUGGAUAAUGCAGAAUAAACCUGUGUUCUUUGACUCCUUGUGUGUGCCAGUAUGAGGGGAGAGAACCAGUGUGUGAGAGAACCACCUAUUUCAGGAAAAUGUAUCUGGUCAAGAUGUGGGAAUGGUACAAGUGUUUCCAUUUUCUAGAGAACACACUUGUUACUGUACUCAUCAAAGAGGCUGCCUCAGCCAACACAUGCCUCAGGAGAGCUGCUUUUGACACAUCAGCUGCCUUGAGUGGAGAAGGGAGAACACCUCCAGCAGGAGUGGCUGCUGUUGCUUCUCUACAGUGUUGAAUCAGUGCUGGAGUCUGGUGAGGCAUCCCAGCUCUUGCUAUAUCCCCUAUGCCAAAAUUAGAAUGGUAUGGAUAAUCUUUAGUACUCCCAUAGUGGGUAAAAGCAGUGCACUGAGCAGCUCCUUCCACACUGCCCCUUCUUGUGCAAAGGCCAUGGAGUGUAGGUGCCUUCCUAGAGCCAGCCUGGGCUUACAAAGAACAAGAGAACUGUCAGAAUCCUGAGAGCAGCAGCACUGUUUGCAUCUCCUCUCAGGGCACUGCCAGGUGAAAAGAACAGAGCCACAAAAAGAACUGAGCCUCCAGCUCAGGUUGUGUGUCAUCCAUUAUCUUUUAUUUGUCCUUAAGGUAAAGGAUGAGGAAUAUGCAUACUGGACGUAUGGAAGGGAGGAAAAUAAAGUGCCAGGUGUGUGAGGAAGAGGCAGGUGUGAGAGUUGUGCCCUGUUCCAGCAGCCCAGGGCUGAGCCAUGGCUGAGCUCUCAGUGCUGGGUUCAGGAGUGAUGUGCCUGCCCCAGAUGACUGUCACAUGUCCCCCCUGACCAGGAACUGUGAUGUGCCUGCCCCAGAUGACUGUCACAUGUCCCCCCUGACCAGGAGCUAAGUGCAGAUGACCUCCACAGCUCUCUGAGACAGCCCAUAAUCCAUAUGACUAUUUUUAUCUUAAAAUGGAUUCUUGUAGUAUCAAGAUUGAAAUGUUUAAGGAAAUGCUUGUGAUUGCUUGGGAGUCUCUUUACCUGCCUAAGUGGUAAUACACAGGUAAACCAGUGCUGCAGAAUAACAUCUUACAUAGAGCACUGUCAGGGAUGUCAAGCUGAUGAGGAAAAUUUUACAUCCAAGCACUUAAAACCAUCAAAUACUAUAGUUAAACUGCCAUACUCUUUAUGUAGUGCUAAAAAGACAACAAAACUUCAGGGAAGGCAGAUUUUCUUCUUAUAAAUAUUCUGAAUAAUAGCUUGGUUUCAAGUAGACUUCCUGGCUCUUUGGUGAUUGCUGAAUUUGGUCUGAAUCUAUCAGGAAUCCCAGUCAUAAUGGUGUGUUUAUUAUUAUAAGCACAUGACUUCUAUAUAAGUUCUCCACAAAUAUGUUGGACAAAACAUAGUUUACCUUCUUAACUGGUACUAUAUGGUUACUUUCUAUCUCCUUUAAUUUCAGUUCUAACUUGAUUGAAUAAAAGGUGCAUUCCUGACAGUAAUCUUUACAUCUGUAAUGGAACACUUGAUUUUAUAUGACUGUUUGCAUACUCCAGACAUAACACAACAUUUUUACAGCAAUAUGUGUUGACAAUACACUGAGAUAAAUAUCAGUUUAUGACAAACGAAGGAGCAAACUUUUAAUAAGGCCAAUGAAUCAUUAGAAAUUAUUAGAAAGGGAAUAUUAGAUUAGAUUUUCUAUCUCUUGAAUGAGGAUGAAAUAUUUUUAUAGAGGUAUAUGCUUGAACAAAUGGCUGGGGGUGGUAGAAGAAUUCCUCACUGGCUUCUGUGGCUUUUGCAACACCUGAGGCCAGACUGGGUCAUCUUAGACAUCCUUCUGGCUUGGAAGGGAGUGAGAAGUCUCAGUGUAGCAAAUAUCUUCAUAGAAAUGCAGCUUCCACUGAACUGAAAAGUUACCCAAAGUUAAUUAAGCUUAUCUUCAAAAAGUAUUGGGAGGAGCAUUGGGAAUGUUCCUCUUUCCUAGUGCCAUGCCUUUUUCAAAGAUCCUCUUAACCUGACUGCUUGCUCCUGUGGAGUGUUUCAUUGGCUGGGGUGGGUUUCUCUGGUUCAUCCAUCCUCGCCCCACCCACAUUAAUCAAACAGCACAUGAACAUCUGUUUUCAGAGCAAAUGUCUUCUGCAGAGUGUCUACUUCUACAAAGUGUAAUGCUGUCUUUCUGCUAGAAAUAAUUAUUAGGUUGAAAAUAAUCUGACAACAUCCUGCUGUGGAUAAAUUAGGUUUGUUCUCUACUAAGAUUAGUAAGCUGGCAUCCAUUCACUAAUACAUUACAAGAAAAUGAUUGCAAGUUGAUUGUAUCCAGUUAUCUGCCUUUUUUCUGUUUAAUAGGCUUUUUGUUGCCAUGCUGUCACCAAAUGUGUGCAAGUCAUACUUUUCCAAGUGCCCUGCAACCUGGGGAGAUGGUGUUUGCUGUCCUGUACCACGAAAAGACUUUUGGGCAGAAGUGUUUGGCGAAGUGGAGAGAUUGUCUCCAUAUAGAUUUCUGAAUCCUGUGCACCUUUGGUUUUGGCCAACAGGGGUGUGUUCUGCUCUAUGGCAAUCAAUAUAUUACCACCAAAGUCCAAAUGCCAGGUAUAAUUAGCUCAUGUGUUUAAAUAGGUGCUGUUAUUUUUCGGCUUGUAUGUACAAGCCUGUUUUCAUGCAGAAGUCCAUAUUUACUUGGGAAGAAUGCUGUGCAAAUCAGAAAAAGCAGAAAAAUUAUUUAAAGUUAUAUGCUAGUGUUUAAGAUUUUAGAAAUAACUGUGAGAUCUUGUAGGCACACAGUUUGUGGUGCCUGGGAGUGGGGCUGGCCCAGCCCCAUCCCCAGUGGGUGCAGCUGUGAGCAGCAGGUGAGCAGCACUGGCAGCAAUGAGCCAUGGAGUGCCCAGGGGCACUGACCAACCCCCAAAGGGAGCAGAGGCACACAGGGGCAGGGCAUCAACAUGAGGGGAUAAAAGGUUGGGCUAAAGAACAAGAAGGGCAGAUGCUUGUAGCCUUCUGAUGUGAUCUGGUGUUCCUCUGUAUGGGCAGACACCUGAAGCCUUCUGAUGUGCUAUGAAAGAAGGUGAAAAUGAGGUCUGGAGAAUGGAGAGAGGCUUUGUUUUUCAUUGCUGAAGUCUCCCUGCACUGUAAGUCUACUGAUGCCCGUGGUGCAUGGACCAUCUCCUGCCUGCUAAUUAGGCCUCUCCAGUGUGCUCUCUGGAAAUGUGCUGGAGAAGUUUUUUUCAAAAAACCACCAUGCCAUCAUAAAUAAGGGAACAGUACAGUAUGUAACUAUUAUACACCACUCAUUUGGCAGACUAUAAUUUAAUAGAACAACAAUGAUCAGACCAGUAUAUCAGUUAAUUUUCAAAACAUUUUAUUCCACGCAAAUUAGCUCAGGUCCUGGAGGGCAAAAUGACAAGAGGUUACUCGUACACUAUGUAUUUAAUUAAUUGAAAAAUGCUCAAACUGCUUUUACAGUUGUUAUUAAAAAGUAGAAUCAGUGUUGCCAGUGCUCAACCAUAAUUAGAACCCCGGGGAAUUAAAUAUUUAGCAUUAGUAAUGUAACAGCACUU